UACGUAGGGUGCGAGCGUUAAUCGGAAUUACUGGGCGUAAAGCGUGCGCAGGCGGUUUUGUAAGCCAGAUGUGAAAGCCCCGGGCUCAACCUGGGAAUGGCAUUUGGGACUGCAAGGCUUGGAGUGCGGGCAGAGGAGACUAGGAAUUCCUGGUGUAGCAGUGAAAUGACGUAGAUAUCUGCAGGAACACCCGUGGCGAAAGCGGCGCGCUGGACCACUACUGACGCUGAGGAACGAAAGCUAGGGGAGCAAACAGG
rnacentral:rRNA from 1 species